rnacentral:rRNA from 1 species
CAGCCGCCACGGUAAUACGUAGGUGGCAAGCGUUGUCCGGAAUUAUUGGGCGUAAAGGGCUCGCAGGCGGCUUCUUAAGUCUGAUGUGAAAGCCCCCGACUCAGCCGGGGAGGGUCAUUGGAAACUGGGAAACCUGAGUGCAGAAGAGGAGAGUGGAAUUCCACGUGUAGCGGUGAAAUGCGUAGAGAUGUGGAGGAACACCAGUGGCGAAGGCGACUCUCUGGUCUGUAACUGACGCUGAGGAGCGGAAGCGUGGGGAGCGAACAGGAUUAGAUACCCCUGUAGUCCCUGUCUCUUAUAC